AACGAACGCUGGCGGCGUGCCUAACACAUGCAAGUCGUGCGAGAAAGUUCCUUCGGGAGCGAGUAAAGCGGCGCACGGGUGAGUAACACGUAGGUAACCUGCCCCCCAGUCUGGAACAACUAGAGGAAACUCUAGCUAAUGCCGGAUGAGACCACGAUCCCUUCGGGGGUUGCGGCCAAAGAUGGCCUCUACUUGUAAGCUAUCGCUGAGGGAUGGGCCUGCGGCCAUUAGCUUGUUGGUGAGGUAACGGCUCACCAAGGCUGUGAUGGCUAGCUGGUCUGAGAGGAUGACCAGCCACACUGGGACUGAGACACGGCCCAGACUCCUACGGAGGCAGCAGUGGGAAUAUUGCGCAAUGGGCGAAAGCCUGACGCAGCGACGCCGCGUGGGUGAUGAAGGCC
rnacentral:rRNA from 1 species